GACGAACGCCGGCGGCGUGCCUAAUACAUGCAAGUCGAACGAGAGCGCCCGGUGCUUGCCCUGGUCAAUCUAGUGGCGAACGGGUGAGUAACACGUGGGUAACCUGCCCAUCAGAGGGGGAUAACAUCCGGAAACGGAUGCUAAAACCGCAUAGGUCUUCGAACCGCAUGGUUUGAAGAGGAAAAGAGGCGCAAGCUUCUGCUGAUGGAUGGACCCGCGGUGCAUUAGCUAGUUGGUGAGGUAACGGCUCACCAAGGCCGUGAUGCAUAGCCGACCUGAGAGGGUGAUAGGACACAUUGGGACUGAGACACGGCCCAAACUCCUACGGGAGGCAGCAGUAGGGAAUCUUCCGCAAUGGACGCAAGUCUGACGGAGCAACGCCGCGUGAGUGAAGAAGGUGUUCGGAUCGUAAAACUCUGUUGUUAGAGAAGAACAAGUGCUAGAGUAACUGUUAGCGCCUUGACGGUAUCUAACCAGAAAGCCACGGCUAACUACGUG
rnacentral:rRNA from 1 species